AUACCCCAUAGUCCGAGAGGUUAAAGGCAGUGAUGCGCGACGGGAGGCACUCGUGUCCUAUCAGCUAGUUGGUGAGGUAACGGCUCACCAAGGCGACGACGGGUAGCCGGCCUGAGAGGGUGACCGGCCACACUGGAACUGAGAUACGGUCCAGACUCCUACGGGAGGCAGCAGUGGGGAAUGUUGGGCAAUGGGAGGAAUCCUGACCCAGCGACGCCGCGUGAACGAAGACGGCAUUCGGGUUGUAAAGUUCUUUUAUGUGGGAAGAAGGAAGUGACGGUACCACAUGAAUAAGCCCCGGCUAACUACGAGCCAGCAGCCGCGGUGAUACGUAGGGGGCGAGCGUUGUCCGGAAUUACUGGGCGUAAAGGGCACGCAGGCUGUGCUUCAAGUCAGCUGUAAAAGGAUGCGGCUUAACCGUGUUAUGCAGUUGAGACUGAGGUGCUGGAGUACCGGAGAGGCAAGUGGAAUUCCCAGUGUAGCGGUGAAAUGCGUAGAUAUUGGGAAGAACAUCGGUGGCGAAGGCGACUUGCUGGACGGUAACUGACGCUGAGGUGCGAAAGCCAGGGUAGCGAACGGGAUUAGAUACCCCGGUAGUCCUGGCUGUAAACGAUGAAUGCUAGGUGUGCGAGCAGAGAUGUUGGCGUGC
rnacentral:rRNA from 1 species